CGGCCCAGUGUCACUGAGUCACUCCGCUAUCUACCCCGCCUCCGGUUCACGUCUCACGGUUGGCUGCAGUCGGCCGUGAAGGCAUCGAAGGUGUUGACGUGACUGGUGGCGAUGGAUGUUACGUCCUUCCCAUAAGACUAACGUAUUAACCACCAGUUCAGCAGCGGGUGUUUUCUGAACACCGACAACUUGCCCAUCCUUGAUCUCCUGCUUGCGGGACCAGCCAGCAGAUGCGUGCGCAGGGGGGCCCUACGGAGAUUCGAAUGGAACGAAGGUGUGUGGUCGGUGUGCCUGCGGGUAGGGAGGCCGCUGACAUGUCUUACCUAGUGGUUGGUAUUUUAUUUUUCGUACUGAGGGCUAGGAUUACCACCACGCCUAAACUCUUUUUUCCUGAAGCCAACUCAUGAGGCUAACGAACUUCAUUAGGGUUCUGAGACGUAGAAUGUCUGGGAUUAAAUGGCGUAUUUUGGCCACGGCAUCUGCGUACUUCAGCCAAUAUAUUUUCGGUGUCUGCUGCUGUGCAAAAGACGCGCUCUUAACACCUUCUACUUGCUAAAGCAGGACACAACAUCCCCCCGCCCCCCGGCCACCACCACUGUCCAGUUUCCUGACAUGGUGACGUUGCAGGUGAAAAGUUAUGUACAGUAACCAGCGAAGGGAAACCCCUCGGUGAGCCCCGGAAGAAUGAGAGCGUUAACUAUAAGGAUCGAGGGAAGAAGUGAGCAGCCCGAUGUCCGUUCCCAAUGGCAGGAGCCUGUGGCUACUUGGAAUCGUCCUC